AUGGUUUCUGACUCUUUCUGCAAACAGAAGCACUUCGAAUCUAUUGGAUGCCAUAAGCCGUGGGCUGUCAAAAGCGUUCCCUUCUUACUAUGGUCCAGUAUUACUCCACUUUUCAUUACACUGCAUAUCCUACUUAAUUCAUGGCAUACCGGAUCAGGAUUGUUGUCAGCCAAGUUCUUGCAAUUUUCAGAUAAGGACGGGCACAAGAAAUUGAUGAGCAUUAUUACAGCAGAAUCUCCAGAUCAGUAUCACUAUCACCUCGCCUGUUCCCUGAAGUGCCACUAUUACUAUUUGGCACUCCAUUCCAAUAGCUCUGAAUUUGUUUCUCCCAGGAUUACCGAUGAAGAUGCACAUUGUAUUUUCCUGUGUACAAGAAUACCUGCAUUUGGUUAUGAACUACAGGCACAUUCAGAAGAUAAGGGCUAG
rnacentral:rRNA from 1 species